AGAGUUUGAUCAUGGCUCAGGAUGAACGCUGGCGGCGUGGAUAAGGCAUGCAAGUCAAACGGCCCGCAAGGGCAGUGGCAAACGAGGUAGUAACACGUAGGUACGCACCCCAAAGUCAAGAAUAACCAGUCGAAAGAUUGGCUAAUACUUGAUAGUCUCUUCGGAGUAAAGAUUUAUCGCUUUGGGAGCGGCCUGCGGGAUAUCAGCUAGUUGGUAAGGUAAUGGCUUACCAAGGCUAUGACGUCUAGGGGGAGCGAGAGCUCGAUCCCCACCGAUGGAACUGAGACACGGUCCAUACACCUACGGGUGGCCGCAGUCGAGAAUCUUCCGCAAUGGGCGAAAGCCUGACGGAGCGACGCCGCGUGAUGGAUGAAGUAUUUCGAUAUGUAAACAUCUUUUAUACGCUAGAAAGUUAUUGAUCAGCGUAGGAAUAAGGGGUUGCUAAACUCGUGCCAGCAGCAGCGGUAAUACGAGUGCCCCAAGCGUUAUCCGGAAUCAUUGGGCGUAAAGGGUGUGUAGGCGGUUGUGUUAGUCUUUUGUUAAAUUCUUCGGCUUAACCGGGGGCAUGCGAAGGAAACGGCACAACUAGAGGAUGCGAGAGGUGAAUGGAACUCAUGGAGUAGGGGUGAAAUCCGUUGAUAUCAUGGGGAACACCAAAUGCGAAGGCAAUUCACUGGCGCACUCCUGACGCUGAGACACGAAAGCGUAGGUAGCGAAUGGGAUUAGAUACCCCAGUAGUCUACGUCCUAAACGAUGACAACUAGCUUUUCAGAGUAUCGACCCUCUGAGAGGCGAAGCUAACGCGUUAAGUUGUCCGCCUAGGUAGUACGACCGCAAGGUUAAAACUCAAAGGAAUUGACGG
rnacentral:rRNA from 1 species